rnacentral:rRNA from 1 species
GAUGAACGCUAGCUACAGGCUUAACACAUGCAAGUCGAGGGGCAGCAUGGUCUUAGCUUGCUAAGGCCGAUGGCGACCGGCGCACGGGUGAGUAACACGUAUCCAACCUGCCGUCUACUCUUGGACAGCCUUCUGAAAGGAAGAUUAAUACAAGAUGGCAUCAUGAGUCCGCAUGUUCACAUGAUUAAAGGUAUUCCGGUAGACGAUGGGGAUGCGUUCCAUUAGAUAGUAGGCGGGGUAACGGCCCACCUAGUCUUCGAUGGAUAGGGGUUCUGAGAGGAAGGUCCCCCACAUUGGAACUGAGACACGGUCCAAACUCCUACGGGAGGCAGCAGUGAGGAAUAUUGGUCAAUGGGCGAGAGCCUGAACCAGCCAAGUAGCGUGAAGGAUGACUGCCCUAUGGGUUGUAAACUUCUUUUAUAAAGGAAUAAAGUCGGGUAUGGAUACCCGUUUGCAUGUACUUUAUGAAUAAGGAUCGGCUAACUCCGUGCCAGCAGCCGCGGUAAUACGGAGGAUCCGAGCGCUAUCCGGAUUUAUUGGGUUUAAAGGGAGCGUAGAUGGAUGUUUAAGUCAGUUGUGAAAGUUUGCGGCUCAACCGUAAAAUUGCAGUUGAUACUGGAUAUCUUGAGUGCAGUUGAGGCAGGCGGAAUUCGUGGUGUAGCGGUGAAAUGCUUAGAUAUCACGAAGAACUCCGAUUGCGAAGGCAGCCUGCUAAGCUGCAACUGACAUUGAGGCUCGAAAGUGUGGGUAUCAAACAGGAUUAGAUACCCCGGUAGUCCACACGGUAAACGAUGAAUACUCGCUGUUUGCGAUAUACUGCAAGCGGCCAAGCGAAAGCGUUAAGUAUUCCACCUGGGGAGUACGCCGGCAACGGUGAAACUCAAAGGAAUUGACGGGGGCCCGCACAAGCGGAGGAACAUGUGGUUUAAUUCGAUGAUACGCGAGGAACCUUACCCGGGCUUAAAUUGCAGAUGAAUUACGGUGAAAGCCGUAAGCCGCAAGGCAUCUGUGAAGGUGCUGCAUGGUUGUCGUCAGCUCGUGCCGUGAGGUGUCGGCUUAAGUGCCAUAACGAGCGCAACCCUUGUUGUCAGUUACUAACAGGUUCCGCUGAGGACUCUGACAAGACUGCCAUCGUAAGAUGUGAGGAAGGUGGGGAUGACGUCAAAUCAGCACGGCCCUUACGUCCGGGGCUACACACGUGUUACAAUGGGGGGUACAGAGGGCCGCUACCACGCGAGUGGAUGCCAAUCCCCAAAACCUCUCUCAGUUCGGACUGGAGUCUGCAACCCGACUCCACGAAGCUGGAUUCGCUAGUAAUCGCGCAUCAGCCACGGCGCGGUGAAUACGUUCCCGGGCCU